CCUACGGGAGGCAGCAGUGAGGAAUCUUGCGCAAUGGGCGAAAGCCUGACGCAGCGACGCCGCGUGGAGGAAGAAGGCCUUCGGGUUGUAAACUCCUUUUCUAAGGGACGAUGAUGACGGUACCUUAGGAAUAAGCUCCGGCUAACUACGUGCCAGCAGCCGCGGUAAUACGCAGGGAGCAAGCGUUAUCCGGAAUUACUGGGCGUAAAGAGUGCGUAGGUGGUCCGAUAGAUUUUUCGUUAAAGUCUUAGGCUCAACCAAAGAAUUGCGAAAAAUAUCAUCGGACUGGAGGGUAACAGAAGAAAGUGGAACUUGUGGUGUAGGAGUAAAAUCCGUUGAUAUCACAAGGAACACCAAUGGCGAGGGCAGCUUUCUAGGUUA
rnacentral:rRNA from 1 species